CCUAGAGAUAAGGGAUGUAGGGUCAGGUUCAGGUGACCUAGAGAUAAGGGAUGUAGGUUCAGGUGACCUAGAGAUAAGGGAUGUAGGGUCAGGUUCAGGUGACCUAGAGAUAAGGGAUGUAGGUUCAGGUGACCUAGAGAUAAGGGAUGUAGGGUCAGGUUCAGGUGACCUAGAGAUAAGGGAUGUAGGUUCAGGUGACCAAGAGAUAAGGGAUGUAGGUUCAGCUGACCUAGAGAUAAGGGAUGUAGGUUCAGGUGACCUAGAGUUAAGGGAUGUAGGGUCAGGUUCAGGUGACCUAGAGAUAAGGGAUGUAGG
rnacentral:lncRNA from 1 species